AUUGAACGCUGGCGGUAUGCUUAAGACAUGCAAGUCGAACGGUAACAGGUUAAGCUGACGAGUGGCGGACGAGUGAGUAACGCGUGGGAAUCUACCUUGUAGUGGGGGAUAAGCCAGGGAAACUUGGACUAAUACCGCAUACGCCCUAAGGGGGAAAGGCGCAAGUCGCUAUAAGAUGAGCCCGCGUCUGAUUAGGUAGUUGGUGGGGUAAAGGCCUACCAAGCCGACGAUCAGUAGCUGGUCUGAGAGGAUGAUCAGCCACGUCGGGACUGAGACACGGCCCGGACUCCUACGGGAGGCAGCAGUCGGGAAUAUCGGACAAUGGGGGAAACCCUGAUCCAGCAAUACCGCGUGUGUGAAGAAGGCCUGCGGGUUGUAAAGCACUUUCAGUUGGGAAGAUAAUGACGCUACCAACAGAAGAAGCACCGGCUAACUCCGUGCCAGCAGCCG
rnacentral:rRNA from 1 species